rnacentral:lncRNA from 1 species
ACUGUCAGCCGCUACGAUGUCAAACCCACGUCGGUAGUUUUGUGGACGUUAACGGUUUUCCAAAAGAUAGCUCUCCUCCAAACAACUGUGUCAUACAGAAUACAAGAUGCAGCCAAGGACCCCAGGCUGGGACUCCAACCGAGAGCAAGGACAAACCCUCAAUGAGUGGGAACCUGUAUCUCCACCAUCUGAGCUAAACAGCAUUUCAUGAUAACUGGACUCUCAGGUUGGAUCGUCGGAAGCCACGCAAAAUAAGUAACGCCCCCAGAUUUUCUGACGUAUCCAGGUGAUGCGUGCCAAAAGGGGCGGCCUCGCUCGUUUCCCGCGCGAAGUUAAUGCAUUUCCCUCCAAAACUGUAGAUGCUUUUAUUAAUGCUGAGGGAUCAUCACUCUGGUCUUUCUCUGAGGACACGAACACGGUGAACAGUGGGACGUGUCUUCAGCUUCAGGUGGAACAGCUCUGACCUGUAUGAUGAUCAGACCUGGAGAGGAGAGACACCUGGUCCAGCCAGGUCAGUGCAGUGGAGGUGCAAAAAUUAAAGGCAGAAAGUGUGAGAUUUGUCAGUUGCUGUUCAUUAAUACUCUAGGAUCAGUAAAUGAUUCUAGAGGGUAGUCGAGUCUCAUUCACAGGUCGUUGAAUACCGACAGUUUGGGUUGGUAGAAGCCACUAUAGUGUCUCUGUUGGGACACUACUCUUUAAAUUUAGUGGUAUUUUACAUGUUUUUUGUUUACUGAGAGGGAAUAUAAACAGCCUGUCUGUUCAGAACGCCUGCAUUUAUUUGAUCUCAUUUAUAUAUAAUAUAAAUGAUAUAAUUCUAUUUUAUUUAACACGUAUAUCUCCACUGUUCAGCCACAAUAUUAAAACAACUGACAAGUGAAGUGAGCAUUAAUCAUCUUGUUACAAUCAAAUGUUCUGCUGGGAAACUUUGAGUUCUGUCAUUUCUGUGGAGCCUCUUUGACAAACACCACCCAC